UACGAAGGGGGCUAGCGUUGUUCGGAAUUACUGGGCGUAAAGCGCGCGCAGGCGGCUAUCCAAGUCAGUGGUGAAAGCCCGGAGCUCAACUCCGGAACUGCCAUUGAAACUGUUUAGCUUGAGGAUGAGAGAGGUGAGUGGAAUUCCCAGUGUAGAGGUGAAAUUCGUAGAUAUUGGGAAGAACACCGGUGGCGAAGGCGGCUCACUGGCUCAUUACUGACGCUGAGGCGCGAAAGCGUGGGGAGCAAACGGG
rnacentral:rRNA from 1 species